rnacentral:rRNA from 1 species
CCUGGGAACUGCGUUNUGAACUGGGUGACUAGAGUGUGUCAGAGGGAGGUAGAAUUCCACGUGUAGCAGUGAAAUGCGUAGAGAUGUGGAGGAAUACCGAUGGCGAAGGCAGCCUCCUGGGAUAACACUGACGUUCAUGCCCGAAAGCGUGGGUAGCAAACAGGAUUAGAUACCCUGGUAGUCCACGCCCUAAACGAUGUCGAUUAGCUGUUGGGCAGCAUGACUGCUUAGUAGCGAAGCUAACGCGUGAAAUCGACCGCCUGGGGAGUACGGUCGCAAGAUUAAAACUCAAAGGAAUUGACGGGGACCCGCACAAGCGGUGGAUGAUGUGGAUUAAUUCGAUGCAACGCGAAGAACCUUACCUGGUCUUGACAUGUACGGAACCCUCCAGAGACGGAGGGGUGCCUUCGGGAGCCGUAACACAGGUGCUGCAUGGCUGUCGUCAGCUCGUGUCGUGAGAUGUUGGGUUAAGUCCCGCAACGAGCGCAACCCUUGUCAUUAGUUGCCAUCAUUAAGUUGGGCACUCUAAUGAGACUGCCGGUGACAAGCCGGAGGAAGGUGGGGAUGACGUCAAGUCCUCAUGGCCCUUAUGACCAGGGCUUCACACGUCAUACAAUGGUCGGUACAGAGGGUAGCCAAGCCGCGAGGUGGAGCCAAUCUCACAAAACCGAUCGUAGUCCGGAUUGCACUCUGCAACUCGAGUGCAUGAAGUCGGAAUCGCUAGUAAUCGCAGGUCAGCAUACUGCGGUGAAUACGUUCCCGGGUCUUGUACACAC